AACGCACAUUGCGCCCGCCAGUAUUCUGGCGGGCAUGCCAGUUCGAGCGUCAUUUCAACCAUCAAGCCCCAGGCUUGUGUUGGAGCCCUGCGGCUGCCGCAGCCUCCUAAAGGCAGUGGCGGGCUCGCUAUCACACCGAGUGCAGUAGUUUACUCUUCGCUCAGGGCGUGUGGCGGGUCCCAGCCGUUAAACCCCCUACUUUUACAAGGUUGACCUCGGAUCAGGUAGGAAUACCCGCUGAACUUAA
rnacentral:misc_RNA from 1 species